AACAGCACCUGGCCGAUAUAAUGUAAUAUCACGAAUGACGAGAUAUUACAUGUCUCGGGUAGGAGCUGUUCA
rnacentral:pre_miRNA from 1 species